rnacentral:tRNA from 1 species
GUUUCAUGGUAGAGCAUGGUGUUUGCAACGCCAGGGUUGUGGGUUCGAUUCCCAC